CGAUUUCGGUUGAUGCGAUUGAGGAUUUUGGAGGCAAAGAAGAAGAGGUGGAAGAAGACGAAGAUGACGAUGCCAUUUUUGAAGACCAGAAAUCCCCACCCGACGUGGUUUUAUACUUGCAGAAGUUCAAUGAAUUUUACUGAUAAUGGCGUCGGCGACUCCAUGGGAAUUGCCGGAAGCAACGCAACAACUCCCCGAAGGUAGCUUAUUGCAAUCCCCAUCGUCAAUUCUCGUGUAUGCCCACACUCGGCAAAUGGUCACUUGGCCACUUACUGUUCGGCUGUAAUGGACACCGGAGAACUGAACCUCUUGGUGAUGCCCUUGCCUUUGGAAGCUUUCAGGUAAUUCAUUUUAUAAUGCUUGUUUAGUUUUGAUAUUGUGUCCGAGGUUUCAAACUCUGGAGAGAAUACAGAUCGUUAGUGUAUGCAUCUUGUAGUUGAGGUAAUGGGUCCUUCUAGGAUGAGUUUAUGCUAGUCAUGUUGGAAUGAAAGUUAUCUGUUUUAAUCAGGAGAUUCAUUCAGCAAUAUUGUCCGUUUGGAUGUUGAUUUAUAAAGUAUUUUUAUUCUAUGAGAGAAUUAGAGAAAGGACACAGCUUGAGAUGCCCAAAAAGACAGCCUCAAAUACCUGCGUGGAUUCCGGUUCUGUCUUUAAGUUAAUUUUCCGGGCGUGGCUAUCAAUUUGCUUUCACCAAGACAUCACUGUUCUCGAACACUGGUGGCAUUGCCAACCGGACUUGGGAAGACGUUUAUCGCCGCAGUUGUGAUGUGUAACUACUUCAGGUGGUUUCCUGAAGGAAAAAUAGUCUUUGCUGCUCCUUCUCGAUCGCUUGUUACACAAUAAAUAGAAGCUUGCCAUAAUGUUGUAGGAAUACCACAAGAAUGGACAAUCAAUAAUUCAAUAUGACAGGUCAGAUAAGUCCUCCGAAAAGAGCAUGCUAUUGCAAAACUAAACAAGUGUUCUUUGUUACUCCACAAAUGCUGGAGAAAGACAUUCAUUCUGGUGAUUUAUUCUUAAUCCGUACGCCUGCAAAAAAAAUUUCUAAAUAAUAUAUUUGUGCAAAACCUUCCUGGGUUUUAGGCUUAUUUUGAUACUAGAGAAGCGGUCAAAAACAUAUACACAUGUAAGCUAGUAACUAAAUCUAUGGAGGAAGAGAGAGCUGCAGUCUUUCAGAUUGAAUUUUCUACUCUUUGCUGCUUCAUAACGUUUUCAGCAUAAAUAUAUUCCCAGACCGCAGUUUAUAUGUAUAGAAUGAUCAAUGAUAGGUGUUACUAUUUUUCUUAUUUCCCCAUGAAAAAACUUCUUUCUAUUUUUCUUAUUUUCCCGUGAGAAAACUAUGCAAGUGCUGCUUAUGUUCAGACCCUGUUCACACACACACACACUGGAUAUAUCUCUGUCAGAAUCUCCAACUUUGGGCACUUUUCUGCUCGAGUGGCUUGGCAAAUGGUCUAGCAGGUUGCUAAAUAUUUGUGAAGCGGAUUCCCAGUAUUUUAAUAUUUCAUGUUUUCUUUUACUUUUCAUUAUCGCUUUGACACUGAGCUCCAUUCAGGUAAAAAUAGCCGUUAGUACACAGGCCACUUGAACGAUCUGUAAUGUGAACUCUGCCUGAGGGAGCAUGAUAUGUGUGUGUGCAUAAAAUUGUUGUAUGUUUGCAGUUUG